CCGCUAUUGGAGUCCGAUUAAGACAUGCGAGUCGAGAGCUUUCGGAGCUCGGCAUACUGCUCAGUAACACGUGGGUAACCUGCCCUGUGCUGGGGGAUAACCUCGGGAAACUGAGAACAAUACCCCAUAGUCCACUACGCCUGGAACGGUGAGUGGAUGAAAGCCCCGGCGGCACAGGAUGGGCCUGCGGCGUAUCAGGUAGUAGGGGGUGUAAAGUACCCUCUAGCCUUCGACGCGUACGGGUUGUGAGAGCAAUAGCCCGGAGAUGGAUUCUGAGACACGAAUCCAGGUCCUACGGGACGCAGCAGUCGCGAAACCUUGACAAUGCGGGAAACCGUGAUCARGGGACUCCAAGUGCCAGGAGUAAGAUCCUGUGCUUUUCUUUUCUCUUCAAAGGAUUUGGAAUAAGAGGUGGGUAAGGACGGUGCCAGCCGCCGCGGUAAUACCGGCGCCUCGAGUGGUAGUCGAUUUUAUUGGGCCUAAAACGUCCCGUCGCCGGUCUGGUGCAUUCGUGGGUAAAUCAACCCGCUCAACGGGUUGAAUUCUGCGAGCACGGCCAGACUAGGGACCGGGAGAGGUGUGGGGUACGCUCGGGGUAGGGGUAAAAUCCUGUCAUCCCGAGCGGACCACCUGUUGCGAAGGCUCCACACUAGAACGGAUCCGACGGUCAGGGACGAAGCCUAGGGGCACGAACCGGAUUAGAUGCCCGGGUAGUCCUAGGUGUAAACGCUGUGGACUUGGUGUUGGGAGCUCCCAGAGGGCUCUCAGUGCCGUAGCGAAGGUGAUAAGUCCACUGCCUGGGGAGUACGGUCGCAAGGCUGAAACUUAAAGGAAUUGGCGGGGGAACACCGCAACCUGAGGAUUGUGCGG
rnacentral:rRNA from 1 species